rnacentral:rRNA from 1 species
AUAUUGGACAAUGGGGGCAACCCUGAUCCAGCCAUGCCGCGUGUGUGAAGAAGGUCAUCGGAUUGUAAAGCACUUUAAGUGGGGAGGAAGGGCUUUAGGUUAAUACCCUGAAGUUUUGACGUUACCAACAGAAUAAGCAACGGCUAACUCUGUGCCAGCAGCCGCGGUAAUACAGAGGGUGCAAGCGUUAAUCGGAAUUACUGGGCGUAAAUCGCGCGUAGUUGGUUCAGUAAGAUGGGUGUGAAAUCCCCGGGCUUAACCUUGGAACUGCUUUCAUAACUGCUGAGCUAGAGUACUGUAGAAGGUAGUGGAAUUUCCUGUGUAGCGGUGAAAUGCGUAGAUAUAGGAAGGAACACCAGUGGCGAAGGCGACUACCUGGACUGAUACUGACACUGAGGUGCGAAAGCGUGGGGAGCAAAC